rnacentral:misc_RNA from 1 species
AGCAGCCGCGGUAAUUCCAGCUCCAAUAGCGUAUAUUAAAGUUGUUGCAGUUAAAAGCUCGUAGUUGAAUUUCGGGAUCAAUUAAUUGGUCGUGCCUCUGGUACGCACUGGUUUUAUUGGUUUCUCCCUUCUGACGAACCACGAUGUCAUUAAUUUGGUGUCGUGGAGAAUCAGGACUGUUACUUUGAAAAAUUAGAGUGUUUAAAGCAGGCUAACGCUUGAAUACAUUAGCAUGGAAUAAUGAAAUAGGACGUUUGAUCCUAUUUUGUGGUUUCUAGGAUCGGCGU